rnacentral:rRNA from 1 species
GUCCACGCCAUAAACGAUGGAUACUUGUUGUUGGAGGUAUUGACCCCUUCAGUGACGAAGCUAACGCGUUAAGUAUCCCGCCUGGGGAAUACGGUCGCAAGAUUAAAACUCAAAGAAAUUGACGGGGCCCGCACAAGCGGUGGAGCAUGUGGUUUAAUUCGAUGCAACGCGAAGAACCUUACCUAGGCUUGACAUGUACUGGAAGACUGGCAGAAAUGUCGUCGCUCGCAAGAGUCGGUACACAGGUGCUGCAUGGCUGUCGU